UACGAGGGGGGCAAGCGUUGUUCGGAAUUAUUGGGCGUAAAGGGUGCGUAGGCGGUUUGACAAGUCUGAUGUGAAAUCUAUGGGCUCAACCCAUAGCCUGCAUCGGAAACUGUCGGACUUGAGUAUGGGAGAGGCGAGUGGAAUUCCUGGUGUAGCGGUGGAAUGCGCAGAUAUCAGGAGGAACACCAAUAGCGAAGGCAGCUCGCUGGGACGUUACUGACGCUGAGGCGCGAAAGCGUGGGGAGCGAACAGG
rnacentral:rRNA from 1 species